CCUACGGGAGGCAGCAGUGGGGAAUAUUGGACAAUGGGGGGAACCCUGAUCCAGCGACGCCGCGUGAGUGAAGAAGUAUUUCGGUAUGUAAAGCUCUAUCAGCAGGGAAGAAAAUGACGGUACCUGACUAAGAAGCCCCGGCUAACUACGUGCCAGCAGCCGCGGUAAUACGUAGGGGGCAAGCGUUAUCCGGAUUUACUGGGUGUAAAGGGAGCGCAGACGGCUGUGCAAGUCUGGAGUGAAAGGCGGGGGCCCAACCCCCGGACUGCUCUGGACACUGGAAAGCUGGAGUGCAGGAGAGGUAA
rnacentral:rRNA from 1 species